rnacentral:misc_RNA from 1 species
GGGAAGGAAAGAAGGGGUGAAAGAAAAGGGAAAGGGAGGGUAUUCCGGAAAGUAUGCCUGUUUGAGGGUCAGUUAAAUAAAAAUCGGUGUUGUUGCUGCUUUUCGUGGUGACGCGUCGGAAUUGAGUUGUCUUACCUUCGGUUAAGUGACUUAAAAUUUUGCAUGAUUUUCGAACGUAUUGAAAUUUCUUACGUACGUUUGAGAUAUCGAAUACUUUAUUAGGUUCGGUCAUCCUCAUGAUUCGCACCUAUAAUUUUUCAUUAAAUGACCUCAAAUCAGGUAAGAAUACCCGCUGAACUUA